rnacentral:rRNA from 1 species
CCUCUACCGUACUCUAGCUUGCCAGUUUUGGAGGCAGUUCCCAGGUUGAGCCCGGGGCUUUCACAUUCAACUUACCAAACCACCUACGCGCGCUUUACGCCCAGUAAUUCCGAUUAACGCUUGCACCCUCUGUAUUACCGCGGCUGCUGGCACAGAGUUAGCCGGUGCUUAUUCUGUCGGUAACGUCAAAACAGCAAGGUAUUCGCUUACUGCCCUUCCUCCCAACUUAAAGUGCUUUACAAUCCGAAGACCUUCUUCACACACGCGGCAUGGCUGGAUCAGGCUUUCGCCCAUUGUCCAAUAUUCCCCACUGCUGCCUCCCGUAGGAGUCUGGACCGUGUCUCAGUUCCAGUGUGACUGAUCAUCCUCUCAGACCAGUUACGGAUCGUCGCCUUGGUGAGCCAUUACCCCACCAACUAGCUAAUCCGACCUAGGCUCAUCUGAUAGCGCAAGGCCCGAAGGUCCCCUGCUUUCUCCCUUAGGACGUAUGCGGUAUUAGCGUUCCUUUCGAAACGUUGUCCCCCACUACCAGGCAGAUUCCUAGGCAUUACUCACCCGUCCGCCGCUGAAUCGAAGAGCAAGCUCUUCUCAUCCGCUCGACUUGCAUGUGUUAGGCCUGCCGCCAGCGUUCAAUCUGAGCCAUGAUCAAACUCU